rnacentral:rRNA from 1 species
AGCAGCCGCGGUAAUUCCAGCUCCAAUAGCGUAUAUUAAAGUUGUUGCAGUUAAAAAGCUCGUAGUUGAAUUUCGGGGUCAGUAGGCUGGUCAUGCCACUGGUAUGUACUGGUUUCACUGAUUCCUCCUUCCUGAUGAACCGUAAUGCCAUUAAUUUGGUGUUGCGGGGAACCUGGACUGUUACUUUGAAAAAUUAGAGUGUUUAAAGCAGGCUAACGCUUGAAUACAUUAGCAUGGAAUAAUGAAAUAGGACGAUCGAUCCUAUUUUGUUGGUUUCUAGGAUUGACGUAAUGAUUAAUAGGGAUAGUUGGGGGCAUUAGUAUUCAAUUGUCAGAGGUGAAAUUCUUGGAUUUAUUGAAGACUAACUACUGCGAAAGCAUUUGCCAAGGAUGUUUUCAUUAAUCAAGAACGAAAGUUAGGGGAUCGAAGACGAUCAGAUACCGUCGUAGUCUUAACCAUAAACUAUGCCGACUAGGGAUCGGAUGAUGUUAAUUUUUAAUGUACUCAUUCGGCGUACCCG